UGUGAGAGCGGGCUUGCUCGCGAAGGCGGUGUGUCAGGCACCAUUGAUGUCGACUGGCACACCGCUUUCGCGAGCAAGCCCGCUCCCACA
rnacentral:misc_RNA from 1 species